rnacentral:lncRNA from 1 species
GGAAGUCGGUAAUUGAUCAUAUACGAAUAUAUUUUGUAAUGAGAAAUCCUCUAACGUUGCUUCCUUCACCGAGCUACUCAGCGGUGGAGGAGGAGGAAUCAACUGUUUCAACGGCCGCGAUCAAAGGCCGGUUAACGAAAAAAAUACAAAUUUCUUUCUCAAAUUUCCAACGGAUUACUUUAGCAGAGGUCUCUCAGCCCCACAGGCGACGGCUUCGCCAUCGCCGCUUCUGUUCAGCGCGGCGGCAGAGCUGCAGCCUCCGUUCUCAUUCGCCUCCGACCAAUCAGUUUCAGCAGUAAAUGUUGCGAAUUCGUCCGCCAUUAAUAAGGGGACCCUUCAGUCCAAUUCUUCAUCGCCGCCACACUUUCCUGCAAACUUCUUCGACGGCGGCGGCGGAAACCACCGCCAUUUCUUCCUCGGAUUCUUCCCCGGAGAGGUCCCAGAGGCGGAUCUGCAGCUGCCGUGUGUGGUGAUGAUGA